rnacentral:ncRNA from 1 species
AUAUUUUAAUUUAUUUAUUUUUAAUUUUUAUUUUUAAUAAGAAAGUUUUAUUUUAGCUUAAAAUUUGGAUUUAUUUUUAAUUAAUAUGUAAAUUUUUAUUUAAAAAAUUAUUUUUGCAGUUUUUAAUAUUAAAAAAUUAUUAAUGUAAGUUUUAGUAAUUGAUUAAAAAAUUAAUUAAAUUUGUGCCAGCAAUUGCGGUUAUACAAAUAAUUUAAUUUAAAUAUAUUGGUUAAUAAUUAAUUGUUAAGUUUAAAUUUAUUAUUAAAAUUUUUAGGUGAAAUUUAAAUUUUAAUAUAAUUUUAUUUUUUUAUAUGAAGUUAUUAAAAUUAAAAUUAAACUAGGAUUAGAUACCCUACUAUUAUAAUUGUAAAUUUAUUAUACCAGAUUAGUAUUAGUUAUUUUCUUAAAAAUUAAAAAAUUUGGCGGUAUUUUAGUCUAUUCAGAGGAACCUGUUCUGUAAUUGAUAAUCCACGAUUAGUUUUACUUUUUCUUUACUUGUAUAUCGUUGUUUUUGAAAAUUUUAUAAGAAUUAGAAUUUUCAAUAAGUAGUUUAUAGUUAAUUUCAAAUCAAGGUGCAGAUUAUGAAAAAGAAGAAAUGGGUUACAUUAAAUUUAUUUUUGGUUUAUUAUUUUAAAUAAUAUUAUUAAAUUGGAUUUGAUAGUAAUAUUUUAUAUAUUUUUAAUAUGAUUUUAGCUCUAAAAUAUGUACAUAUUGCCCGUCGCUCUCAUAAAGUUGAGAUAAGUCGUAACAAAGUAGAUUUACUGGAAAGUGAAUCUAGAAUGAU